rnacentral:tRNA from 1 species
UCUUUCCUGUGGCUCAGUCAGAAGAGCAAUGCACUAGCAACGCAAAGAUCAUGGGUUCAAACCCCAAGGAAAGCA